AAUCCAGUUUAUCCUGCUGGCGGAUGCGGCUAUCUGGUUCAUAUUUAGGCAUGCAAGUUCUUCCGAAAGGAAGGCGAACUGCUCAGUAACACGUAGCUAACCUAACCUUAGGUCAAGAAUAACCUCGGGAAACUGAGGAUAAGGCUUGAUAGAAAAUGUUUUCUGGAAUGAAAUAUUUUUGAAACUCGAGCCUAAGGAUGGGGCUGCGGCUGAUUAGCUAGUUGUUGGUGUAAAAGACUAACAAGGCGAUGAUCAGUAAGGGCUCUUAGCGGAGAGGCCCUGAGAAGGAAUCUGAGACACUAUUCCUAGCUCUACGGGGUGCAGCAGCUUAGGAAAUUCUUCAAUGCUCGAAAGAGUGAAAGAGCGAGCCAGAGUGUUUUCUUUACGAAAACUUUUAUCUGCUGUAAAAAGGCAGAUGAAUAAGGACUGGGCAAGACCGGUGCCAGCCGCCGCGGUAAUCCCGGCGGUCCAAGUCGCAUCCACAAUUAUUGGGUCUAAAACAUUCGUAGCUUGCUUUGUAAGUCUCUUGUGAAAUCUCAUAUCUCAAGUAUGAGGCGUGCAAGAGAUACUGCAUUGCUAGAGACUGGAAGACGCAAAGAGUACGAUGAAGGGAGUGGUUAAAUAUGUUAAUCUUCAUCGGACUAACAAUGGCGAAGGCACUUUGCGAGUACAGAUCUGACAGUGAGGAAUGAAGGCUAGGGGCGCAAAAGGGAUUAGAUACCCCUGUAGUCCUAGCAGUAAACACUGCUCACUAAACAUUAGCACCUCCUCGAGAGGUGUUAGUGCUGUAGCGAAGGCGAAGAGUGAGCUACCUGGGAAGUAUAGUCGCAAGACCGAAACUUAAAGGAAUUGGCGGGGAGGCACUACAACGGGUGACGCGUGCGGUUCAAUUAGACUCUACACCGUGAAUCUCACCAGGACCGACAGCAGAAUGAAGGUCAGUCUAAAGGGCUUACCUGACACGCUGAGAGGAGUUGCAUGGCCGACAUAAGCCUGUGCUGUGAAGUGACUUGUUAAAUCAAGUAACAGGCGAGACCCCUGUCUCUAAUUUCUACGAAAGAGCACAUUAGAGAGACUGCCUUGGUAACAAGGAGGAGGGUGGGGACGAUGUUAGGUGAGUACAGCCUGAAUGCCCUGGGCAACACGCGCGCGGCAAUGUCACAUUCAAUGAGAUGCAACUCUGAAAAGAGAAGCUAAUCUCCUAACAUGUGGCUUAGUUCAGAUUGAGGUUUGUAACCCAACCUCAUGACGCUGGAAUCCGUAGUAAUCGUUCGUUAUCAGCGAACGGUGAAUAUGUCACGGCCUCUUGUACACACUGCCCGUCAAACCAACCGAGUUAUGCUUUGGUGAGGCUCUUCGGAAACGAGCCUUAGUAUGACAAGGUAGGUUAAGUCGUCACAAGGUAUCUGUAGGGGAACCUGCAGAGGGAUCACCUCCU
rnacentral:rRNA from 1 species